UCUCCUGCUUUCUCCCUUCUUGGACUCUUGGACAGCUGACAUGCUAUUGGUGCACAAGUGGAGAAGAAGGAAGUGUCAGGAAUGCCACGCACAGAGGAGAUAAGAAGAUGGAGGAAAAGGAAAGGAACUCUGGGCACAGUAACCUCCCUCAAAUCAGGCCUCAGGUCAUGUAAUUAGACUGUAUGGGAAUCUCGAGCCUUUUAAUACCUGGAGCAGCGUGACCGCCCUGUAAGCUGGGUCCCGGUCUGUGCCAUUGUGUCCUUUUGACAUUCUGCUCCGUUAUCUGGCUAGUGUGAGUGACUGCCCUGUAAUCAGGGUGCCAGUCACCUCCGCCUGUCUUUGGAGGGGCAUUGAGCUCUUUGUUAAACUGAGCAAUGUGACCGCCCUGUCACUGGGGUCCGGGUCUCUGCCCUCUUGCUCAUUUGGCUUUACGCCAUGCUCUGCCCCACUAGUCAGCGUGACAACCCUGUAAUUAGGGUCCAUGUCACAAGUCUCUCUAGAAUGGGACCUAUCGAGCUCUUUGGUACUUUGACAGCUGGACCUUCCUGUAAUUCAGGUUAUGGUCUCUCCUAUUGGGCUAAUGCCAGCGACCACCCUGUAAUCGGGGUACAAGUUGCAUCUCGCUUUUGAAAUCUGGGGGAUUAGAAACUUUUCAGUAACAUGGGCAGCUUGACCUCCCUGUAACUAGGGUUUGCGUCUCUGAGGCCCUGAGGGUCUCCGUUAGCUGGUUAGUGAGGUGUGACUGCCCUGUAAUCAGGAUGCCAGUCACCUCCGCCUGUCUUUGGAGGGGCAUUGAGCUCUUUGUUAAACUGAGCAAUGUGACCGCCCUGUCACUGGGGUCCGGGUCUCUGCCCUCUUGCUCAUUUGGCUUUACGCCGUGCUCUGCCCCACUAGUCAGCGUGACAACCCUGUAAUUAGGGUCUAUGUCACAAGUCUCUCUAGAAUGGGCCCUAUCGAGCUCUCUGGUACUUUGACAGCUUGACCUUCCUGUAAUUCAGGAUAUGGUCCCUGCUCUUUGGCUAAUGCCAGCGACCACCCUGUAAUCAGGGUACAGGUUGCAGCUCGCUCUUAAAAACUGGGAGAUUAGCAUCAUUUCACGAACAUGGGCAGCUUGACCUCCCUGUAACUAGGGUGUGUGUCUCCGAGGCCCUUUGGCUCUCUUGGCCUCGUGCUGUCUUCACAGCCUGCUGCGAACGACCGCCCUGUAAUCAGGGAUCGGGUCUUUGCCCUCUAGUCUCUAGGCACUAGGCCAAAUGCAGCCACUGCCCUGAAUGAGCACCCUGUAAACAGGGUACAGGUCUCAUCAGCUACUAUUUAUGGUGCCCCCAUGAGACUGUGUCCAGACUUCUGGCCCUUCAAGCAGCGCUUCCAACAUGCCUGGAAAUCUGCAGCCAAGUCUCCUGCUUUCUCCUCCCUUCUUGGACUCUUGGACAGCUGACAUGCUAUUGGUGCACAAGUGGAGAAGAAGGAAGUGUCAGGAAUGCCACGCACAGAGGAGAUAAGAAGAUGGAGGAAAAGGAAAGGAACUCUGGGCACAGUAACCUCCCUCAAAUCAGGCCUCAGGUCAUGUAAUUAGACUGUAUGGGAAUCUCGAGGCUUUUAAUACCUGGAGCAGCGUGACCGCCCUGUAAGCUGGGUCCCGGUCUGUGCCAUUGUGUCCUUUUGACAUUCUGCUCCGUUAUCUGGCUAGUGUGAGUGACUGCCCUGUAAUCAGGGUGCCAGUCACCUCCGCCUGUCUUUGGAGGGGCAUUGAGCUCUUUGUUAAACUGAGCAAUGUGACCGCCCUGUCACUGGGGUCCGGGUCUCUGCCCUCUUGCUCAUUUGGCUUUACGCCAUGCUCUGCCCCACUAGUCAGCGUGACAACCCUGUAAUUAGGGUCCAUGUCACAAGUCUCUCUAGAAUGGGACCUAUCGAGCUCUUUGGUACUUUGACAGCUGGACCUUCCUGUAAUUCAGGUUAUGGUCUCUCCUAUUGGGCUAAUGCCAGCGACCACCCUGUAAUCGGAGUACAAGUUGCAUC